UACGGAGGGUGCAAGCGUUGCUCGGAAUUAUUGGGCGUAAAGGGUAGGUAGGUGGUCUCAUUUGUCUGAGGUGAAAUCCUUGAGCUUAACUCAAGAAGUGCCUCAGAAACGGUGAGACUAGAGUCCUGGAGAGGGUCGUGGAAUUCCCGGUGUAGCGGUGAAAUGCGUAGAGAUCGGGAGGAACACCAGAGGCGAAAGCGGCGACCUAGACAGGUACUGACACUCAACUACGAAAGCGUGGGGAGCAAACAGG
rnacentral:rRNA from 1 species